rnacentral:rRNA from 1 species
AGAGUUUGAUCAUGGCUCAGAACGAACGCUGGCGGCGUGCUUAACACAUGCAAGUCGAACGCGAAAGUUUUCUUCGGAAGAUGAGUAGAGUGGCGCACGGGUGAGUAACGCGUAGAUAAUCUACCCCUGCAUCUGGGAUAACCCACCGAAAGGUGAGCUAAUACCGGAUACGUUCUUUUAACCGCGAGGUUUUAAGAAGAAAGGUGGCCUCUGAUAUAAGCUACUGUGCGGGGAGGAGUUUGCGUACCAUUAGCUAGUUGGUAGGGUAAUGGCCUACCAAGGCAUCGAUGGUUAGCGGGUCUGAGAGGAUGAUCCGCCACACUGGAACUGGAACACGGACCAGACUCCUACGGGAGGCAGCAGUGAGGAAUAUUGCGCAAUGGGGGCAACCCUGACGCAGCGACGCCGCGUGGAUGAUGAAGGCCUUCGGGUCGUAAAAUCCUGUCAGAUGGAAAGAAAUGUAUAUGUAAUAAUACUAUGUAUGCUUGACGGUACCAUCAAAGGAAGCACCGGCUAACUCCGUGCCAGCAGCCGCGGUAAUACGGAGGGUGCAAGCGUUGUUCGGAAUUACUGGGCGUAAAGCGCGCGUAGGUGGUCUGUUAUGUCAGAUGUGAAAGUCCACGGCUCAACCGUGGAAGUGCAUUUGAAACUGGCAGACUUGAGUACUGGAGGGGGUAGUGGAAUUCCCGGUGUAGAGGUGAAAUUCGUAGAUAUCGGGAGGAAUACCGGUGGCGAAGGNGACUACCUGGNCAGAUACUGACACUGAGGUGCGAAAGCGUGGGGAGCAAACAGGANUAGAUACCCUGNAGUCCACGCCGUAAACGAUGU